rnacentral:rRNA from 1 species
UACGUAGGAGGCAAGCGUUGUCCGGAAUUACUGGGUGUAAAGCGCGUGUAGGCGGCAGGCCAAGUCUGUGGUGAAAUCGCUCGGCUCAACUGGGCGGGGUCCAUGGAAACUGGUCAGCUGGAGGACGGUAGAGGUGAGUGGAAUUCCCGGUGUAGUGGUGAAAUGCGUAGAGAUCGGGAGGAACACCCGUGGCGAAGGCGGCUCACUGGGCCGGGUCCUGACGCUGAGACGCGAAGGCGUGGGGAGCGAACGGG